GAGUGUAUAGCUCAGUGGUAGAGUGCAUGCUUACCAUGCAUGAAGUUCCCAGUUCAAUCCCCAGUACCUCCA
rnacentral:tRNA from 1 species